rnacentral:tRNA from 1 species
AGUCAGAUCAGCUAAGUAAGCUCUCGGGCCCAUACCCCGAAAAUGUAGGUUAAAGUCCUUCUCUCGCUA